GUGAAUCAUCGAAUCUUUGAACGCACAUUGCGCCCAUUAGUAUUCUAGUGGGCAUGCCUGUUCGAGCGUCAUUAAGUCCACUUAAGCCCUGCUUAGUGUUGGGAGACUGCUCCAGCGGUGCUACCCUGUAGCUACCCUGCAGCUCCUCAAAGACAGCGGCGGAGUUGUGGUAUCCUCUGAGCUUAGUAACUUGUUCUAGCUUUCGAGUACACCACUUCCCCUGCCGUAAAACCCUUAAUUUUUAAUGGUUGACCUCGGAUCAGGUAGGAAUACCCGCUGAACUUAAGCAUAUCAAUAAGCGGAGGA
rnacentral:misc_RNA from 1 species